GACGGAGGAUGCAAGUGUUAUCCGGAAUCACUGGGCGUAAAGCGUCUGUAGGUGGUUUAAAAAGUCCACUGUUAAAGAUUGAAGCUUAACUUCAAAAAUGCCGUGGAAACUUUUAAACUUGAGUAUGAUAGGGGUAGAGGGAAUUUCCAGUGGAGCGGUGAAAUGCGUAGAUAUUGGAAAGACCACCAAUGGCGAAGGCACUCUACUGGGCCAUUACUGACACUGAGAGACGAAAGCUAGGGGAGCAAGUGGG
rnacentral:rRNA from 1 species